UACGUAGGUGACGAGCGUUAUCCGGAAUUAUUGGGCGUAAAGCGCACGCAAGCGGUUCGACAAGUCUGACGUGAAAUCUCCUGGCUUAACUGGGAGCGGUCGUUGGAAACUGUCGAGCUUGAGGCGAUGAGAGGGGUGCAGAAUUCCCGGUGUAGUGGUGGAAUGCGUAGAGAUCGGGGGGAAUACCUGUGGCGAAAGCGGCACCCUGGCGUCGUUCUGGACGCUCAUGUGCGAAAGCGUGGGGAGCGAACGGG
rnacentral:rRNA from 1 species